ACGUAACAAGGUCUCCGUUGGUGAACCAGCGGAGGGAUCAUUACCGAGUUUACAACUCCCAAACCCAAUGUGAACGUUACCAAACUGUUGCCUCGGCGGGAUCUCUGCCCCGGGUGCGUCGCAGCCCCGGACCAAGGCGCCCGCCGGAGGACCAACCAAAACUCUUUUUGUAUACCCCCUCGCGGGUUUUUUAUAAUCUGAGCCUUCUCGGCGCCUCUCGUAGGCGUUUCGAAAAUGAAUCAAAACUUUCAACAACGGAUCUCUUGGUUCUGGCAUCGAUGAAGAACGCAGCGAAAUGCGAUAAGUAAUGUGAAUUGCAGAAUUCAGUGAAUCAUCGAAUCUUUGAACGCACAUUGCGCCCGCCAGUAUUCUGGCGGGCAUGCCUGUCCGAGCGUCAUUUCAACCCUCGAACCCCUCCGGGGGGUCGGCGUUGGGGAUCGGCCCUCCCUUAGCGGGUGGCCGUCUCCGAAAUACAGUGGCGGUCUCGCCGCAGCCUCUCCUGCGCAGUAGUUUGCACACUCGCAUCGGGAGCGCGGCGCGUCCACAGCCGUUAAACACCCAACUUCU
rnacentral:rRNA from 1 species